rfam:Fukomys damarensis contig70383, whole genome shotgun sequence.
UGGUGCUCCUCACCCACCCGUGAAGAUCUCAGGCAGACAAGGGAACAGUCAGUGGGACC